rnacentral:rRNA from 1 species
GACGAACGCUGGCGGCGUGCCUAAUACAUGCAAGUAGAACGCACAGUUUAUACCGUAGCUUGCUACACCAUACACUGUGAGUUGCGAACGGGUGAGUAACGCGUAGGUAACCUGCCUGGUAGCGGGGGGUAACUAUUGGAAACGAUAGCUAAUACCGCAUAAUAUUGAUUAUUGCAUGAUAAUUGAUUGAAAGAUGCUAUUGCAUCACUACCAGAUGGACCUGCGUUGUAUUAGCUAGUAGGUGAGGUAACGGCUCACCUAGGCGACGAUACAUAGCCGACCUGAGAGGGUGAUCGGCCACACUGGGACUGAGACACGGCCCAGACUCCUACGGGAGGCAGCAGUAGGGAAUCUUCGGCAAUGGACGAAAGUCUGACCGAGCAACGCCGCGUGAGUGAAGAAGGUUUUCGGAUCGUAAAGCUCUGUUGUAAGAGAAGAACGGGUGUGAGAGUGGAAAGUUCACACUGUGACGGUAUCUUACCAGAAAGGGACGGCUAACUACGUG